AGCAGCCGCGGUAAUUCCAGCUCCAAUAGCGUAUAUUAAAGUUGUUGCAGUUAAAAAGCUCGUAGUUGAAUUUCGGGGUCAGUAGAUUGGUCGUGCCACUGGUAUGCACUGGUCUUACUGGCUCCUCCCUCCUAAUGAACCGUAAUGCCAUUAAUUUGGUGUUGCGGGGAAACUGGACUGUUACUUUGAAAAAAUUAGAGUGUUUAAAGCAGGCUAACGCUUGAAUACAUUAGCAUGGAAUAAUGAAAUAGGACGUUCGAUCUUAUUUUGUUGGUUUCUAGGAUUGACGUAAUGAUUAAUAGGGAUAGUUGGGGGCAUUAGUAUUCAAUUGUCAGAGGUGAAAUUCUUGGAUUUAUUGAAGACUAACUACUGCGAAAGCAUUUGCCAAGGAUGUUUUCAUUAAUCAAGAACGAAAGUUAGGGGAUCGAAGACGAUCAGAUACCGUCGUAGUCUUAACCAUAAACUAUGCCGACUAGGGAUCGGAUGAUGUUAAUUUUUUAAUGACUCAUUCGGCGCCUUA
rnacentral:rRNA from 1 species